GAUCAUGGCUCAGGAUGAACGCUAGCUACAGGCUUAACACAUGCAAGUCGAGGGGAACGAUAUUGGAAGCUUGCUUCCGAUAGGCGUCGACCGGCGCACGGGUGAGUAACGCGUAUCCAACCUGCCCAUCACUUGGGGAUAACCUUGCGAAAGUAAGACUAAUACCCAAUGACGUCUCUAGAAGACAUCUGAAAGAGAUUAAAGAUUUAUCGGUGAUGGAUGGGGAUGCGUCUGAUUAGCUUGUUGGCGGGGUAACGGCCCACCAAGGCGACGAUCAGUAGGGGUUCUGAGAGGAAGGUCCCCCACAUUGGAACUGAGACACGGUCCAAACUCCUACGGGGGGCAGCAGUGAGGAAUAUUGGUCAAUGGACGAGAGUCUGAACCAGCCAAGUAGCGUGAAGGAUGAAGGUCCUACGGAUUGUAAACUUCUUUUAUAAGGGAAUAAACCCUCCCACGUGUGGGAGCUUGUAUGUACCUUAUGAAUAAGCAUCGGCUAACUCCGUG
rnacentral:rRNA from 1 species